AGCAGACAGCGCUUGCUUUUCAAGGCACUGAAAAUAAAUUUUCAUUGGUGAGAAACAAGGAAUAUGAUCUUUUGAAAAGGAGUUAGUUUUGAGUGUUCCAAGUUGCUGGGAAGAAAACAAACAUGUAGGAGGCUUCUGCUGAAGGCCUAGAAACCACAGGAAUUUGGGGUGGGUCUCCUCUGGCAGCACUGCCUGAUCCAUUACGGUAUACAACACACUAUGGGAUCAAACUUCCUAGACAACAACACAGUGGAAAGCAUCUCAUAACAAUGCUUUGGAUAUUCAAAUUCCAUGUAUGCAAGACUGUCAAGAGUACUGAGUAUUGAAAAGAUCUAAAAUUAGAUGGAGGAGAAGUUGGGAGGGAAUUUGAUGCAAACAGAUGAGUACAAGUGUACUGCAUGAGUGCUUUGGUUAAAAUAAAAAGGUUUCUAACCAAUAAUGAAGUCCAAACAAGAAAGCAAUGGAGAAUCAGCGUUCCAGUUCAAUGAACCAAGUCACCCGUUCCAGGACAGUGCAUUGUUUGGCGGAACUAAGUAGCAAACACGGUGUACAUUGCUGAGAUACUUUUUCAAAAGUAAGGAAGUUGGUUGCCUAAUUCCUAUUAAUUUUA